rnacentral:rRNA from 1 species
UCUACCCUCGGGUGGGGGAAUAACGUCCGGAAACGGACGCUAAUACCGCCAUAAUGCAGCGGCACCGCAAGGUGACAGUUGUUAAAGAUUUAUUGCCUGGGGAGGAGCUUGCGGCAGAUUAGCUUGUUGGUAAGGUAACGGCUUACCAAGGCUACGAUCUGUAUCCGGUCUAAGAGGACGGUCGGACACACUGACACUGAAUAACGGGUCAG